UAAAUUUGCCACUUGUGUUAUUGUAAAAAUAACAUGAAUGUGAUCCUAUUUUAAUCUGGUUUAGUUGUAUUAGAAUUGUGAAACAGUGGUUUAGUCUAACAUAAGAUGUCUUAACUUAAAGGAUCAUUAACUUGCAGACCUCAUCUAUGCAGCUUGACUAAUGUUGUGCUUUGGACUUGUAUAGGUGGGUGUCAUUACAAAAAUUUUUUUCUUUGGUUAAAUAUCUAAGAUCUUAUGCCUAUAGCAUGGUAAUUAUGUGCCAAAGGUCCAGAUUUAAAUUUUUAGUUCUACUUCUGUCUUCUAAUGCAUGAGACCUUGAAAGUUUAUGGUCAAGUUACAUAGUUUGACUCGUCUUUGUACGGCAAAAGUAGGUAAUUGCUUAAGUGUAAUACUGCAAAGCAUUGUGGCUGGUCUGUUGUAGGAGGGAUUAGCAGUUGCAGUCCCUGGCUCCUGAUCCUGUCUCUAAGACCAAACAGGAAAACUUUUUCAGAUCAAAGUCUCAAGUAAGAACACUCAAACAAAAGUGGCGUUUUUGUUAGAGGAGUAUUUCAAGGAUAAAAGUUUGAAUGACAUGCGUAAACCGGCCUGCUGCCACCAGAAUUCUUGAGCAGCUUGCUGUUUGGCUCUACCAGCACUGCAUAUGUUUUCUGGUGUGCUGUGACAGUUGCUGAUACUCAAAUUCAGGACCAAACUGCAACAAGAGCCAGAGUUGAGAAGGCCUUCAUCACACUUGAGAAAUGUCUUUGGUGUUUUCUAUCAUCUAAACCAAGGAUUGUUUCACUUAAUCUGUUUUGCCGUAAGUGCCAUUGAACAUCAGAAAAAUCUGCUUGUGUGAUACCUUUUCUCCUUGAGAAGAGCUGCAGUCUUGAAGAGAGAAAGCUGCAUGAUGGGUGGAGCAGCUAUUAGCUGUUUUUAAAUGAUUUCUACUAUUAGAGAGAAACAACAAGAACCUCGGGAUUAUUUUUCAUAACUUAUGACCUUUUCAAAAUAGUGCAAAGGGAAAAAUGUGGAAGAACAGCAAUUUAUGAAGUACCUACUAGAAAUCUCAACCAAGGAUUAAAGCCCAGCAUACUAAGUGCUCUGUGGAAAAAAUAAAUUGAUUCCUGCUGUGAAUUGUUUCUGGUUUUCGAUUAUGACAAAAUGCAAUAGCAGAAUUGUAGUCUGCAUUGACCGGGGAGGGUAAUUUGGAAAGUAACACACAGAUUGUAUGUAAUAAAAAUGGUUAAAAAGAAAUUGAUAUGCCUACCCUAAGGGAACGCAGCAAGACUUUGAAUAAAACUAAUAGAAAAAGACUUGUGCUACUGACUCUUCGGGUUUUCUGUGUAGCAAAUUCCUUCUCAUCUGCUUUUUUUUAGA